CACUACCUGGAACACGGUGACGAUGGCCCACAGCAGGGAGUCGAAGUUCUUCCUGUCAGGCACGGUGUCUCCGGUGUCUGUCUUCAGGCUGAACUUGCAGCCGAAAAGGCGAGAGAACCAAGACCAGAGGCGGGACAGACAGAGGGAAGCCACUCUGGAUUUGGGUGGCAACUGGAACCUGGGACACCUGCCUCAUUCAGCCUCUCUGGACUGUGAAAGCCCGGCCUGCCUGGCUGCCUAGCCUCCAGCCGACCCUGACCCUGAGCUCCAGGCUAGACGGGCACACAGCAGGCGCUCAGAACACCCCAGUUGGAGCCUGGUGCCUGCCCCCACCCCCG
ensembl:lncRNA novel transcript, antisense to CACNA1H